AUUUUGUUCGGAAUUAAUUUGUAUUUUUUAGUUCAAGAAAAUAAUUUAGUGCAGUUAAAACUUUAUCAUUUUGUACAAAUGAUUAAGUGCAAUUAAAAUUUAACUAUUUUCAUAAUAAAUAAUAACCAAGAAUACAUGUAAAGUCAUAUGAUUAGUUACUAGUAAUAUAAUAUAAGAAUAAAAAAAAAUGCAAAAUACUCCAAAUCAAAAAACGGAAGAAGUCCUAUAAAUUGGAAAGUGUCCAAAGAAAAAAAGAAAAAACGAAAAGAAAGAUGAAAAAGUUAAAACUAUGCCGCCAAAACCCUAGACCUCAAUUACAUAGGAUGCGCGCCAUUAUUUCAUUUUCAACCCACGAUCAGAGUUCACAAUUCCAUUACUUUUAUGUAAAUCCUUUCCAUGGUUUUCUCAAUUAAAAGAUAAUCUCAAACUACAGUCUCCCGCAAUUCAUCUGUGCUCUUGGAUUCUCAAUUGCACAAUCUAUUCGGCUAAGUGAAACUAACUGUGAACAUAUCCCGACAUCUAUUUGGGAGAGCUGGAAGCCUAACUAGGAGACUGAGGCUUUUAAGGCCAAAUCUGCACAAUGUUCAAGAGAUUGACUAAGUGAGAAAUGUAGCGAAGGAUCUGGCCUAUCACGCCAUACAUGAGGCUCUUGCACUCACCGGUGUAUGCAAAGAUUAGUAUAUCCAUUUUUAUUUGGUCAAGUUCUAAUAUUUUCAAAGCUAUUCCUUAUGUAUUAAUUGUGGUAGAUGUGAUUUUAAUUUUAGGCUAAAGAACUAGGAUGACCACCUUGUCCACACGAGCUUUUGAAGAAAACACAUAUCAAGGCGAAUGAUGAGUUUGUGGGCGAGAAGUCUAAGAGCACAUAUCCUGCAGAUUAAUUCAUCGAGCCUCCAACAAUUGAUUUUUCACACAUUUACUUGGAUGAAGUGGGUGAGUUAAGAAGGCAUGCACUUAUGACCUUGUUUCUCUGGCAGCUUUCCAAGGAAAUGUUGGUGCAUCAUCCUCUUCAACUUCUCGACUUCAAGAUCGUGAUUUUGAUGUUCGGGUGAAGGAAUGCGUUGUAUACCGUUACAAGAGAUUAAGGAUGAGAUGGAGCAUGACACGAAAGAAAAGAUGAGACAAGAAAUGAGAGAAGAAUUAGGACAAGAAAUGAGACACGAAAUGCUGCGAUAGGUGCACAAGCAAGUAGAUAAGAUUCUACAAGUCUGUAUGUCAGUUCUCAUUGCUAGCCUACCUAUAAUGUCCACUUUUAUACUACAUCAGUUUAGACACACGUUAUCAAAUAAGGAUACAGGUUAUAUUUAAAUAGUUUUAACUCUUUUAUCUUAGACUAUUGCAUUGUUAUUCAAAUUAUGGAUUAUAAUAGGACUACUAAUAUUGUUG